rnacentral:lncRNA from 10 species
GUGGUUGUGCACAUUCAAUUUUAAUUCACAAUCCAUUUUAGAACGUUUUAUCACCCCCGACCAGAGAAAAACCCUGUGAACAUUAGUCACUCCUCAUUCUGUCUCAAACCCUCUCCCUGACCCUCAGCCCUAGGUAACAACUGCAUAGAGCGAUCAACCCCAUAUGCAUAGAUUUCCAUAUUGUGGACAUUUCCUAUAAACGGAAUUGCAUAAUACGUGAGCUUUGAUGACUGACAUAACACUUUUAGCACAAUAUUUUCAAGAUUCAUCCACAUUGCAGCCUUACCCACAGGGGGAAACCAUUUUUUUGGGGUUUUAGUAACACUGGGUGUUUUCUCCUUCCUUCCUUCCUUCCUUCCUUCCUUCCUUCCUUCCUUCCUUCCUUCCUUCCUUCCUAUUUCUCUCUUACUCCUUCUGCCCUCUCUCUUUCAUGUGCCUUAGGUGCAUCCUACGUUCUGCGUCUUUUUGGGGAAUCCUCGACAGGUGCUGGAAAAUUGUGUUAUUGAACCUUUGUGUGUGGAAAACUGAGAAAAUUGCUUUCUGCUGUAGAGUCUGGCAUUCAUUGUAGAUUAAAGCUUAUUUUUCUGUGAGUAAAUCUUAUUCAAUAAAAUACUACUCUUUAUAAUAAAAAACAAAAACACUGGUGAUGUGAAGUCAUUAUCCUCAGCAAACUAAUCCAGGAAAACAAAACCAAACGCCACAUUCUCACUUAUAAUGGGAGCUGAAAAAUGGGAUCACAUGGACACAGGAAGGGGAACAACACAU